rnacentral:rRNA from 1 species
UCCUCCCUCUGGCGGCGUGCUUAACACAUGCAAGUCGAACGGAAAGGCCCUGCUUUUGUGGGGUGCUCGAGUGGCGAACGGGUGAGUAACACGUGAGUAACCUGCCCUUGACUUUGGGAUAACUUCAGGAAGCUGGGGCUAAUACCGGAUAGGAGCUCCUGCUGCAUGGUGGGGGUUGGAAAGUUUCGGCGGUUGGGGAUGGACUCGCGGCUUAUCAGCUUGUUGGUGGGGUAGUGGCUUACCAAGGCUUUGACGGGUAGCCGGCCUGAGAGGGUGACCGGCCACAUUGGGACUGAGAUACGGCCCAGACUCCUACGGGAGGCAGCAGUGGGGAAUAUUGCACAAUGGGCGGAAGCCUGAUGCAGCAACGCCGCGUGCGGGAUGACGGCCUUCGGGUUGUAAACCGCUUUCGCCUGUGACGAAGCGUGAGUGACGGUAAUGGGUAAAGAAGCACCGGCUAACUACGUG